rnacentral:rRNA from 1 species
AACGUAGGAGGCAAACGUUAUCCGGAGUUACUGGGCGUAAAGGGCGUGUAGGUGGUUACGUAAGUCUGGCGUGAAAUUUCUCGGCUUAACCGAGGCAGGUCGUCGGAUACUGCGAGACUAGAGGACGGUAGAGGCGUGUGGAAUUCCGGGUGUAGUGGUGAAAUGCGUAGAGAUCCGGAGGAACACCAGUGGCGAAGGCGACACGCUGGGCCGUACCUGACACUGAGGCGCGAUAG